AGCGAACGCUGGCGGCAGGCCUAACACAUGCAAGUUGAACGAAGUCUUCGGACUUAGUGGCGGACGGGUGAGUAACACGUGGGAACGUGCCUUUAGGUUCGGAAUAACUCAGGGAAACUUGUGCUAAUACCAAAUGUGCCCUUCGGGGGAAAGAUUUAUCGCCUUUAGAGCGGCCCGCGUCUGAUUAGCUAGUUGGUGAGGUAAAGGCUCACCAAGGCUACGAUCAGUAGCUGGUCUGAGAGGAUGACCAGCCACAUUGGGACUGAGACACGGCCCAAACUCCUACGGGAGGCAGCAGUGGGGAAUCUUGCGCAAUGGGCGAAAGCCUGACGCAGCCAUGCCGCGUGGAUGAUGAAGGUCUUAGGAUUGUAAAAUCCUUUCACCGGUGAAGAUAAUGACUGUAGCCGGAGAAGAAGCCCCGGCUAACUUCGUGCCAGCCGCCGCAGUAACAC
rnacentral:rRNA from 1 species